rnacentral:rRNA from 1 species
AUUGAACGCUGGCGGAAUACUUUACACAUGCAAGUCGAACGGCAGCACGAGGGCAACCUUGGUGGCGAGUGGCGAACGGGUGAGUAAUACAUCGGAACGUGCCCAGUCGUGGGGAGUAACGUAGCGAAAGCUACGCUAAUACCGCAUACGAUCUAUGGAUGAAGCGGGGGACCGUAAGGCCUCGCGCGGAUUGGAGCGGCCGAUGGCAGAUUAGGUAGUUGGUGGGGUAAAGGCUCACCAAGCCUGCGAUCUGUAGCUGGUCUGAGAGGACGACCAGCCACACUGGAACUGAGACACGGUCCAGACUCCUACGGGAGGCAGCAGUGGGGAAUUUUGGACAAUGGGCGCAAGCCUGAUCCAGCCAUUCCGCGUGCAGGAUGAAGGCC